rnacentral:rRNA from 1 species
UACGUAGGGUGCGAGCGUUAAUCGGAAUUACUGGGCGUAAAGCGUGCGCAGGCGGUUCGUUGUGUCGGCGGUGAAAGCCCCGGGCUUAACCUGGGAAUGGCCGUUGAAACUGGCGAACUGGAGUGUGGCAGAGGGGGGUGGAAUUCCGCGUGUAGCAGUGAAAUGCGUAGAGAUGCGGAGGAACACCGAUGGCGAAGGCAGCCCCCUGGGCUAACACUGACGCUCAGGCACGAAAGCGUGGGGGAGCAAACAGG